rnacentral:rRNA from 1 species
CAGCAGCCACGGUAAUACGUAGGGUGCAAGCGUUAGUCGGAAUUACUGGGCGUAAAGCGUGCGCAGGCGGUUCGUUAGGACAGAUGUGAAAUCCCCGGGCUUAACCUGGGAACUGCAUUUGUGACUGGCGGGCUAGAGUAUGGCAGAGGGGGGUAGAAUUCCACGUGUAGCAGUGAAAUGCGUAGGGAUGUGGAGGAAUACCGAUGGCGAAGGCAGCCCCCUGGGCCAAUACUGACGCUCAUGCACGAAAGCGUGGGGAGCAAACAGGAUUAGAUACCCCUGUAGUUCCUGUCUCUUAUAA